rnacentral:rRNA from 1 species
CUCCCUGGCGGCGAGCGGCGGACGGGUGAGUAACGCGUAGGAAUCUGCCCAGUAGUGGGGGGACAACCCGGGGAAACCCGGGCUAAUACCGCAUACGCCCUACGGGGGAAAGCGGGGGAUCUUCGGACCUCGCGCUAUUGGAUGAGCCUGCGUCGGAUUAGCUUGUUGGUAGGGUAACGGCCUACCAAGGCGACGAUCCGUAGCUGGUCUGAGAGGACGAUCAGCCACACUGGGACUGAGACACGGCCCAG